UGUAAAAGUGUGGCGGACGGGUGAGUAACGCGUAGGAACCUGCCUCAAUCCGGGAAAUACCCCACCGAAAGGUGGGCUAAUGUCCCAUGAGCUCUACGGAGCAAAGCUACGGCGGAUUGAGAGGGGCCUGCGUCCUAUCAGCUUGUUGGUAAGGUAAUUGCUCACCAAGGCUAUGACGGGUAGCUGGUCUGAGAGGAUGAUCAGCCACAAUGGCACUGAGACACGGGCCAUACACC
rnacentral:rRNA from 1 species